ACAAGCAAGAGCAACAGAGAAGGGG
rnacentral:piRNA from 1 species